rnacentral:lncRNA from 1 species
UUUCAACUGGUUUGUAACAUUACUAUUUUAGGAGAAAUUAGUUAUCCAGAUCAAGUUAUUCAAGCUCAGGUUUUAGUGGGACUAUCUGAAGGUUUUGCGGAAAGAUAUUUUAGCUUUGGCGUCCAGGUAGGCUAGACUUAUCCUACCUAUAUAUUGAGCUUAUUUACUAAAAUUGUGAACUAAUAUGCUAGCUUUGGAUAAGUACUUGUAGUUGUGUAUCAUUUGAUAUGUAUAUAACAUGUCUUAUUUUUUCGGAUUAGAACACCAUUUUAGUAGAUUUUGGUAUUUUAUCUUUCAAUAUAAUAUAGCAUCCAUCACUUUAGGAUGUGGAAUUAAAUUGCAGAACCUUGAAUCUGUCCCUUUAAGGUUAACACAUGCAUACGGUAAUUAGACAUAUUUUAGCUGUUGUUCAGGUUUAGUAUAUACUUUAUAUCUGCCAUUGAUUGUGAACUUUUGUACCACGUUGACAUUAUUAUGGUAUGGCACGAAUUUUAAUAUUACAGUGAGGUAUGGUUACUAUGAGUUUUGGUUCAAGUCUUGCAUCUGAUUAUGGUUAUGGUUCCUUUGAGUUUCUGUUCGAAUCUGGCAUCUGAUUAUGGUUAUGGUUCCUUUAGUUCUUGUUUGAGUCUGACAUCUGAUUAUGAUUAUGGUUCUGCUGAGUUCCAAUUUGAGUUCAGCAUUUGAUUAUCAGUUCAGUUGUAUUUUAUAAAUGAGGCCUCUCGUUACUACUCACCAUGUUUGGUUUGAAUCUGGCACGUAUCCCUUGAUAUUAUCCAUCACUUUCGGUUCGAGUCUAGUUUAUGGCCUCUCGUACUAUCCAUUGGUGCCGGUUCAAGUCCGGUGUACAUCUGAUGACUACGACGAUUUCAUGAGAUUGGCUCAGUUACAUAUUAUUUAUGGUUAUUUUUCUUUAAUUGUUACUUGUAUGUGUCCCACUAGCUUAUGAGGGUACGGUUGGGUUAACUAUCUUCUUAGUGUGCCUAGCGGGCUUUUAGAGGCCCAGUUAGGUUAUGUUUGAUUUUUCUAUUAUUACUGCAUUAUUUAUUUUCAGUAUCGCUUACAUUCAUUCCUUUAUCGCAUUGGCAAAGCAUCGCUUACAUUCAUUCCUUUAUCGCAUUGGCAAAGCAUGGUUGUUGUUUACCUUUCUUUCUCUGUUUACUGAUAACAUAGAUUAAACCCUUACAUUGUACUUAUACCAUUUAUGUAUUGAACUCAUUCGACCGAUGAUGCCUACUGAGUACCCGUUGCUUUGGUACUCAUACUACAUUUCUACAUCUUUUCCCUGAUACAGAUAUGAGUAGUAGCAGCCGACAUUGACAUAAUUUCUACCUACCAAUGCUGAUUCAAAGCAGGGUGAGCUUACUGUCAUUCGAACUUAAUCCUCCUAUGUCUACUCCAAUUUAGUCUUUUGUACUCAAGAAUACUUGUAUAUAUAAUGUAUAUUUUGAAUUCUAUGCAAUACUCUUGUAUCUUUUAGUAGUGGCUCUACCAAGUCUUGAGAGGGA